CAGCUUCAGCGAGAGGCGGGAGGGCGCCAGCAGCGCCGUCACCACCAACUCCUCCGGCAUAUCCUCGCGCUCUGGGACCACCACGGAGCCGGGGUCCGAGGACUGAACCGGCGGCGCCGGCUCCGGGAGCCCACCGCCUUUGUUUUGGGAUCCCACUGUGCUGUCGGGCGCUGCGGAACCCUCUGAGGACACAGGUGAACGGCUCGGGCAGAGACUGCCACCGCACAUGACUCACUCCAAAGUGGCAGAUCAUGAACCUGAAAUUCCGGGAUGAGGUCAUUUUGCCUGAAGUUCUAUCAUCUGCCUUAGCAGCAAUCCAGGACAACAUGGAGGCAGAGGCCUGUGUUUCACCCAACACUGAGGCCACUGGCAAGCUUUCAAAUUCCUUCUGGCAGUUAUCUCGAGAAACAUCAGAUCAGAAGAUUUGUCUUAAUUUGUCAUCAUCAGAGAUGCUUCCUCCUGCAGCUCAUGGGAGCAGAGUGUAAGAGCCAGAGAGAAUGGAAGGCACCAGGAGAACAAUGCCCUCUGAAUCAACUGAGUAAGGCUCAUAUGAAUUCAGAGACGGAAGCAGCAAGCACAGACCAAUCCUCUAGGUAUAUAGCUUUCAGCUCAGUAUUUUAUUGGGACUUCUGAUUGUGUGAACAAGUGGACCUUUUUUGUUUGUUUUUUGAGCCUGAGUAGCCUUGGCUGUCCCAGGACUUCCUUUGUAGACCCGGUUGGCCUUGAACUAAUAGACUCACCUGCCUCUGCCUCUCAAGUGCUGGGAUUAAAGGCAUGUGCCACCACUGCCCAGCUGGGUCUCCGAUUCUUGUGCACA